AUGGUAGCGUCACGACAGCGAGCUGUGUGCUUUGCUCUCCGGUGAGCUACGUGCGAUUAUGGUUUGGGUGGGCAGAGCAGCUCCGAAGGUGGGCGAAGCAGAGCUAAAGCCGACGGCAAGGUAGCGACACUGGUGCGGCAGCCUCCUCAACGACCUCCUCUGUUUCCGGCGCGGCAGGGCAGCGGCGGUGGAGCUUGGCAUCGACGACCGGCGUCACCCUUCUCCUGCGACGGCGAGGCAACGAUCGGCAGCGGAGCUUCGCAGCGGCGGGGGCUCCUCCCGGUGUCAAGGGCGUCGUCUUCCUCCUUUGUUAUCUUCCUCGCUCGACGUCACCAAAGGCGGACGACGUGCAACAGCAGCUGACGGUGGAAGCUGACGGAAGUCCCCUUUCCGUUCGGUCAGCAGCGACGGUGGAUGAGGGCGGUGUCCUCCUUUCCGCAUGAGUGAAUGAGCGAGCGUAGCAGCAUCAUCCUCCGUAUGGUGACCAAAGACUCACAGCAAGGGUAAUAACCGGUGGUUACACAACAGAACACAAGAACCAGAGUGGCACGGUGGUGUGGCUCUCGCAUGUUGAGUUGAGGGGCGUGGGUUCGAUUCCUAGUCUAGGCAGUUAAGGUUCGUGGUUAUGAACCGAGCUUAGAGUUCGUGUUGCUUUGGAUUAUUAUGCUUUCGGAAUUAAAUACGCUUCAAAGGUUUGCCUUAAAGCCUUUGCGUGAGCGCGAUAGGGAUAUACCCGUCUGAGGAGGCUUAGAUAGUGGUUAUGUUUUUAGAUUUAUGCUUUGGCCUGUGAGCCAUUUGAGACUUUAUAACUCUUGAUUAGUGAUUUGGGCACUUAUGAUUAUGACUUGAGGAUUUUAUUCUAUUUUAUAUAUGACAGCUUAGUUCGUUUCU